rnacentral:rRNA from 1 species
GUAGGUGGCAAGCGUUGUCCGGAAUUAUUGGGCGUAAAGCGCGCGCAGGCGGUUCUUUAAGUCUGAUGUGAAAGCCCACGGCUCAACCGUGGAGGGUCAUUGGAAACUGGAGAACUUGAGUACAGAAGAGGAAAGCGGAAUUCCACGUGUAGCGGUGAAAUGCGUAGAGAUGUGGAGGAACACCAGUGGCGAGGGCGGCUUUCUGGUCUGUAACUGACGCUGAGGCGCGAAAGCGUGGGGAGCAAACAGGGAUUAGAUACCCUGGUAGUCCACGCCGUAAACGAUGAGUGCUAAGUGUUAGGGGGUUUCCGCCCCCUUAGUGCUGCAGCUAACGCAUUAAGCACUCCGCCUGGGGAGUACGGCCGCAAGGCUG